UCAGUGCUCACUGACAUCCGAAUCCAUAUUAGUAAGUCGGUUACAAGAACUUAACCCAACAAACCCAAGAAAAACCCCAAAUCCUAACUAUAAAACCCCAACCGCUCUAAAAUCAAACUCCUUUUCCCGGAAAAUCUUGAUCGCAAGUUCUCUACGACAAGUCAAAGAAUGGGAAAAGGAACAGGGAGUUUUGGGAAACGAAGGAACAAGACGCACACGCUGUGCGUGUGAUGCGGACGAAGAAGCUUCCAUCUCCAGAAGAGUCGAUGCGCCUCUUGUGGUUAUCCCGCUAGUCAUAUCAUAAUUUAUAACUGGAGUAUUAAGGCCAUCCGCUGGAGGACCACUGGAACCGGCCGUAUGAGGUACCUCCGUCAUGUGCCGCGUAGGUUCAAACCAACUUCAGAGAAGGUAAGGAGACGUUUGGUUCAUAGAUUAGAAUCAUGUGAUUAUAACU